UUGACAUGUCCGGAAUCCCGAAGAGAUUUGGGAGUGCUCGCAAGAGAACCGGAACACAGGUGCUGCAUGGCUGUCGUCAGCUCGUGUCGUGAGAUGUUGGGUUAAGUCCCGCAACGAGCGCAACCCUUGUCAUUAGUUGCCAUCAUUGGUUGGGCACUCUAAUGAGACUGCCGGUGACAAACCGGAGGAAGGUGGGGAUGACGUCAAGUCCUCAUGGCCCUUAUGGGUAGGGCUUCACACGUCAUACAAUGGUCGGUACAGAGGGUUGCCAACCCGCGAGGGGGAGCUAAUCCCACAAAGCCGAUCGUAGUCCGGAUCGCAGUCUGCAACUCGACUGCGUGAAGUCGGAAUCGCUAGUAAUCGUGGAUCAGCAUGUCACGGUGAAUACGUUCCCGGGUCUU
rnacentral:rRNA from 1 species